rnacentral:rRNA from 1 species
UGGGGAAUAUUGCACAAUGGAGGGAACUCUGAUGCAGCGACGCCGCGUGAACGAAGAAGGCUUUCGAGUCGUAAAGUUCUUUUAUAUGGGAAGAUAAUGACGGUACCAUAAGAAAAAGCCCCGGCUAACUACGUGCCAGCAGCCGCGGUAAUACGUAGGGGGCUAGCGUUGUCCGGAAUCACUGGGCGUAAAGGGUUCGCAGGCGGAAAUGCAAGUCAGGUGUAAAAGGCAGUAGCUUAACUACUGUAAGCAUUUGAAACUGCAUAUCUUGAGAAGAGUAGAGGUAAGUGGAAUUUUUAGUGUAGCGGUGAAAUGCGUAGAUAUUAGGAGGAAUACCGGUGGCGAAGGCGACUUUCUGGACUUUUACUGACGCUCAGGUACGAAAGCGUGGGGAGCAAACAGG